AGAGCCAACCUCCUGUUUCUACCGAGCAAAUGUUGACACAGCAUCAAGCCCCACGCUCCUGAAUAGACAGUCAACUGACAGAUCCCAAUCUGAUUGAACAUCUUCAGAAUCUGCUGGACCAAACCCAAGCCGAGGAGGCUCCCGUCUGCAAUCCAUAGAACCCAAAAUGUCUCCGACCAACGACCCACUGACGGACACCCUAAGACACUCCAGAGGUUCUUAACUGUUUUGGCAGCAUCAAGGAGAGCCUACACAAUAUCAGGAGGUGCCGCAAGCAUACCAGCAGUUGAAAGAGGAGCCACAUUCUUUCAGCACAGAUCCCUCCAUCCCUC